rnacentral:rRNA from 1 species
AUGUCAAGACCGGCUCUCACUUUGUUGAUGAUGCUAGUAUCGUGGGAGAUUUGGAAGAAAAGCGACGCAAGAGUUUUCCGCAACACCUCCACCCCCAGAAUGGUGGUUGUUAGGAAGAUCAAGGAGGAAGCCCAUGUUUGGGCGUUAGUGGACGCGAAACACUUGAUUAAUGUAAUGGCGCGAGAGUAG